AUAUAUAUAUAUAUAUAUAAAAGGAAACACAAUUUUCCUCCACAUCAAGUUGUCAUCAAAACUUGCUCCAUUCAUUCCAUUGCCAAACUGAGACCAUGUACCCUGACACAUUAACAAAAAAAUAAAUAAAUAAAAAAAAUAAAAAAAUCCCUUCACCUUUCUCUACUGAGAGAGAGAGAGAGAGAGAGAGAGAGAGAGAGAGAGAGAGAGAGAGAGAGAGAGAGAGAGAGAGAGAGAGAGAGAGAGAGAGAGAGAGAGAGAAUGGUGGCCAGAGUAAGACGAAGGAGAAAGCAAGUUAAAGAAAACAAAUGGAAAGUGAGAGAAAAGCAAGAAAAUACAGAUGAAAAGAAAAUCUGCGGUAAAAAUGCACCGCUGAAACAAAAACGAAUAAGAAAGUGUAAUGAAACGAUGAGAUAAUUUUGUGUUUUUGUGAGCCCGCAAUUAUGCUGCACCCACCCUCUACCACUACUACCACUACUACUACUACUCCUACCACUGCAAUUUAUGAGCAGUAGGUGACAGAAACGAAGAAGCGCAAACACCUGGAGAUAGGUGAGCUUGAUAGGAAGUUACAAGUAGAAUAUGAAGCAAAACUCAAAGACUCACUGAGAGAACUUGAGAGGACUGUGAAGAACAACUCAAGAACAUUACGCCCUAAGUGGACGACCUGUACGAGGCCAAGGUGACCCAUGAACUACCUCUAACAAUGGUGAUGAAGAACCAGAAGUGGGUUGUAGGUGACGAGAUAACUAUCCCAGGUCAUCCCGGAAGUGGCGAGGUGACCCCAUACAGCUCCACAAGGUCGUGGAGGACACCAGACAUAGCCACGUGGUCGCCUACACUCAGCCAUCCACCUCACCUGCCCCAGACUGCUACCCGGACACCAUCCAGCCACAAGAACCCAGAUAAGCACUUCCGGGGUCCUUGGUUGUGGUUAGCUAGCUAGUUUGUUUAGGGGUCACUUGCUGUACAUAGGAACCCUCCUCGGUCUGAUGCUAUUUUUUUUAUUUUUAUUUUUGAGGUGUAACGCUGUGCUCUACGUGAGAGUGAUAGUGUUUAUCUUUAUUUAUUUAUUUUUUUUCCUGAAGACCAGUUCUGAUGUUAUCUUGGAGGUUAACGGAGAAGAGUUCUUCACAACUGUGUUUGUUGUUUUAUUUUAUUUUUUUAUUGGUCACUUUUUGUUUUUUGUUGUGAUUGUUAUUAAUUUUAUUUAUUUGUAUUGAAAUAUGUGAGUGUGAAUGCAGCACAAUAUAUAAAGGUGUGCAUUCCAGAGUGAAAGGAAGGCGUGCACAGGGUAGAGUGCACAGGAUGCAGUGCCUUGUUUUUAUCACCAGACCUUGAUUGACUGAAGCAAAUGAAAACUUUGGUGUGAGUACCUUACAAAGACACUUGACAAUACUAAUGUCACCUCACCUCGUGGUUUCACCUUAAACCUACAAACAUUGGCUGGACACAAGGUCAUAGAAAUAAUUUAUUCUCAUUUAUUCUCAUCUUUACAAAUUACAGUCUUUACACAUCAAAGUAACUAAUCACCUUUAUUCAUCCACUUGAGGGGGUUGAAGGAUCGCUAAUCCCAUAUUAAAUUGCCUGUGUUCAACUCGCCUCUCCUCCCUCAUUUAUUGACCAAUUCAUUUAAAAAAUAUUUUGAUCAGGAAGGUUGCAAGAAGGAUGUCUGCUAUCUUUUUUUUUUUUGUACGAUAAGUUUUUUUUUCAAUGAAAAAGUAAAAAAAAAACUGUGUCAAAUAUUUACUUUCAAAUAUUUGUCAGAAAUCAAAAUCAGUUACAAACAAAAAUGACGACAGCAGAAUUUGUUCGCCUCUCACAGCUGGAUAAGCCGCAAUGGCCCAUCUGUGUGUAACACUAAUAACAACGGAGAUCAUUUUUAUAUGCCAAAAUCCGCCAUUUUAAGUUAUGUCAAAGUUUAAGGGAUGACUAUAAUACACCUAUUGCAGCUAAGGACUUGAAAUUCACAUGAUAUAUACAUCACAAUAUGUUGAAAAACAGAUAUAGAUUAAUUUAGUUACUACGAUCGGUUUUGUACAUAGGCCUAAAGUAAUUCAUGAUUUCACCCUUAAUUACCCGGGGGGGAGGGGGGAAGGCGGGUGAAAACAAUUUUUGUUAUAUUUCGACUUUUAGAUCAAAACCAGUGUUUAACUGUUUGAAAUAAAUAAAAUAUUAAUGCAAAAGAUAUCUAAUGCAGACACAUUGACUAUUUCCUAGAUUUACGGAAAAAUAUUUAUCUCAUUUUUCGUAUAUAAAUUUGAAAAAAAUAGUUAGACCUAAAAUUACGUACUCUCUAAUGUUGUACGCAGCAAAAGAACCAGAGAUAUUCAUAGGAGACUGAGGAAGAACGGGUACGCCAGAAAGAAAAAAACAAAAAAAGUCAUGUCUCGCAGCGGGCGAAACCGUGAAAUUUCAUAACAGAAGACCUCAUUACAUUAGGGGAUAUAUAUAUAUAUAUAUAUAUAUAUAUAUA